GGGUGAUUUCCGGAUUGAAUUGUUGUUGAAUUUUGAAAUGUGAGAUCUUGAUCAUCGUAAGUCCGUUUUAAGUCAUUCUUGGGGCUAACUUGUAAAGUUUUUCGCAAGGAUCGUCGUGGUAUAAUCUGUUUGGGUUGAAAGGGUUUCGUUUUUCCGAAAAUUGGUGAUCAAGGGGCUGCCCUUUUUAAUUAUUGUGGCUGAUUUGCGGUGUUGUAGGCAUCUGUUUGUGCUAAAAUUUUGGGAUAUUAGUUUAGUAAGGUAGUUGGGACGUUUCCACGGAUUCGAUUUUGAGAUUCUAAGUGUGGGCCCCACAAUCCCGUUUUAGACCCGAUUUUGGGUCCGUCUCCGAAAAAUAUAAUUUUAGUGUCAAUAUAUUCGUAAUGACAAGGUGAUUAACCUUUUGUUAGAGGGGAAGCAUUUGGAGACCGUUCGGAGAGGAAAAGAUCCGGUACCGUGAGCUGGAGCACGCGUGAUCGGCUUUCAGGUCCGGGCACUAGUAGCCAGCGUUGAUCGAGCUUGGAGUAGACUUAUCCGGAGACGGGGGUGAGCACACGGCGUUUUGUACUAUUUCAGUCUCCAUCUGUAUAUAUAGAC